UGAACGCUGGCGGCGUGCCUAACACAUGCAAGUCGAACGAGAAAUCUAGCCUUCGGGCAAGAGAGUAAAGUGGCGCACGGGUGAGUAACGCGUGGAUAACCUGCCCUUUAAUCUGGAAUAACUUCGCGAAAGCGUUGCUAAUACCGGAUAUCGUCUUUAGAACUGUGGUUUUUAAGAUGAAAGGUGACCUAUUCUUGAAAGUUGUCGUUAAAGGAGGGGUCCGCGUACCAUUAGCUAGUUGGUGGGGUAAUGGCCUACCAAGGUUACGAUGGUUAGCUGGUCUGAGAGGAUGAUCAGCCACACUGGAACUGAAACACGGUCCAGACUCCUACGGGAGGCAGCAGUGAGGAAUUUUGCGCAAUGGGGGAAACCCUGACGCAGCAACGCCGCGUGAGUGAAGAAGGUUUUCGGAUCGUAAAGCUCUGUCAAGUGGGAAAAAUGUUUUACUAUUAAUAGUAGUGGGAUUUGAUGGUACCACUAAAGGAAGCACCGGCUAACUCC
rnacentral:rRNA from 1 species